AAUGGGGUCAGGGUCAUGGGAAUGGCAUCGUGGGGUCAGUGGGUACAGGGCCUUCCGCAAGCGCAUGAUGCUGGCCUACCGCUUCCGGCCCAACCCCCUGAACAACCCACGGCGACCUUACUACUGAGGAGAGUUUUUCCCACCAGAUUUCCUGG
rnacentral:lncRNA from 1 species